GCCGCAGUAGCUCAGUGGUAGAGCAACGCAUUCGUAAUGCGUGGGCCGGGGGUUCAAAUCCCUCCUGCGGCA
rnacentral:tRNA from 1 species